CAGGAGGAUGGAGGUUGUGGACCAUCAUGUGCGUGGACCAUGGUAUGAUCUGUCUUCACCACUAAACUGGAAAAUGAAGAAGAUGAUGAUGGAAAUUUUCCUGUGGAUAUGAGAUGGGUGGGGACACAGACGGAGCCCUUUUGGACCAAGGACAUGGAAGCAAGAAGGAAGGCCUGUCCUUCCACAGGCAUUCUUGCCAUGACUCCAUGGAUUCAUCUCUCCCUAGGAAUGCUGUCAUGAUUUCCAAGAUCCUUCGCAUCCUAGGAGUGAUCAGCAAAACUACUCAGACCUGUCUGCCCUGAAGAGCAUCCACUAUGAACCUCCAGACCCAUCAGUCUAGGAGGGCUAUUGACUCCUUAGAAGCAGUGCAAAGUAGGAGAGCACAUCGGCACUCUCCAGGUGCAUCUCUUGCUGGAGAAAUAAUCAUGACUUCCCAGAUCUAUUCCCCCCUCCCUCCCUCAGGAAGACCUAUCUUAACUCUCCAGCAGAGACAUCUCCAUCCAGCAGGACCUUCCAUGAUUUUCCAGGUUGGCUUCCAAUAUCUAUCACUUUCUACCCAGAAUAAAAAUGAGCAAGAUAUGAAAAAGAGCCUCCAGCAAGUCUUUUCCACAUUGGAAGAGCCAGGAACCUCUCAUUUGUUCCAAAAAGCAGCAAAUAGAAAUACAAUUCAGACCUCUCUCCACCAUGAAAAAAAAGCAAACAAAAUCCCAUUCUGAAAGUAAGAAGUAGCAUGCCUUCCAAGCCUCUUUCCCCAGCCAUAGCAAACUUCAGAUAAGCUCUUUGUCUAGAAGUCACACUCUGGAUCUCCUUACCACCAGAGUGGGUACAGGAAGUCCUCUGACUCAGAUCCGUCUCUCUGUGGAAUAGACCUUGGCCAAGGAGCUCUGAUUCUGGAGACGGGGGAGCAGCUCUUCUGAUUCCAAUCUGACCCUGCUCCAGAUGGGUCAAGUUCCUGCAGAUAAGGCUAAGUACUUGCUUUCCUGGGCCCAAACUGACAUGCAGUGAAAACCUUAGGAGCUUAGGUGAGCCAAAGAAACCACAGAGUUUGAAGUUGAAUUCCAAAUGCCAAAGCCAUAUUUUAGUAACUUUAAACUGGAUUAUUUAGACCAAAGGAGAAAUGCAGAGAAGAUGAGGAGUCCCCCCAGUGGGGAAAGGGGCUGGCACAGAGCCAGCCAGAACAAUAGAGUAUGGAGGUGCCGAAGCCCCUGGAUGGCUGUGUGGAUGAACACUUGCACUGAAUGCUCAGAGGACAGGAGAGAGGAAUCCCAUGGCCAAAUUGAUUGAGAAGAAUUAGCCUAAGGAGAUCAGAGAUAAGAAAGUGAGGACUCACUGCAGUGGUCUGGCACCUCCUUCCAACGGAUUCAAUAUCUGGCUGGGACACCGCAAGGAUGGAGAGAACAGAUCCAGUGUGUUUGACCCAAGGCAAUUUGCAGGCGUGCAAGCAAGAAGACAGUCACUGUUGUGACUGAACGUAUGAGCAUGGGGGAUG
rnacentral:lncRNA from 1 species